AUGGUUCUCAAUCAGAGGCAGGUGUUCGUCAUUGUCUCUGAUUGGGAACCAUAUUUAGGUAGCCUGGGUUUCACUGUGUGUUUGUGGGUGAUUGUUCCUGUUUUUUGUGUUUGCACCAGACAGGGCUGUUUUGAGUUCUCACGUUUCUUGUUUUUUUCCGUUAGUUUGUUCAUGUAUAGUGUCGUCAAUAAAUACAAUGAACAACCACCACGCUGCGCUUUGGUCCGCCUCUACUUCGCAAGAAGAGAAUCGUUACAGNNNNNNNNNNGUCCGGCGCCUCUGCCGGAGCCUCCCGCCUGUCCGGCGCCUCUGCCGGAGCCUCCCGCCUGUCCGGCGCCUCUGCCGGAGCCUCCCGCCUGUCCGGCGCCUCUGCCGGAGCCUCCCGCCUGUCCGGCGCCUCUGCCGGAGCUUCCCGUCUGUCCGGCGCCAUCGGAGCUUCCCGUCUGCCCAGCGCCGCCAGCGCCGCCCGUCUGCCCAGCGCCGCCAGCGCCGCCCGUCUGCCCAGCGCCGCCAGCGCCGCCCGUCUGCCCAGCGCCGCCAGCGCCGCCCGUCAACCCAGCGCCGCCCGUCUGCCCAGCGCCGCCCGUCUGCCCAGCGCCGCCAGUCAGCCAGGGGCCGCCAGUGCCGCCAGUCAGCCAGGGGCCGCCAGUGCCGCCAGUCAGCCAGGGGCCGCUAGAGCCCCUCCGCCCGGAGCAGCUGUCCCUCUGUCCCGAGCAGCUGUCCCUCUGUCCCGAGCAGCUGUCCCUCNNNNNNNNNNAUAUGGUUCUCAAUCAGAGGCAGGUGUUCGUCAUUGUCUCUGAUUGGGAACCAUAUUUAGGUAGCCUGGGUUUCACUGUGUGUUUGUGGGUGAUUGUUCCUGUUUUUUGUGUUUGCACCAGACAGGGCUGUUUUGAGUUCUCACGUUUCUUGUUUUUUUCCGUUAGUUUGUUCAUGUAUAGUGUCGUCAAUAAAUACAAUGAACAACCACCACGCUGCGCUUUGGUCCGCCUCUACUUCGCAAGAAGAGAAUCGUUACAGNNNNNNNNNNGUACUUUCUGUCAGUGA
rnacentral:lncRNA from 13 species